AGAUUGAACGCUGGCGGCAGGCCUAACACAUGCAAGUCGAGCGGCAGCACGGGUACUUGUACCUGGUGGCGAGCGGCGGACGGGUGAGUAAUGCCUAGGAAUCUGCCUGGUAGUGGGGGAUAACGCUCGGAAACGGACGCUAAUACCGCAUACGUCCUACGGGAGAAAGCAGGGGACCUUCGGGCCUUGCGCUAUCAGAUGAGCCUAGGUCGGAUUAGCUAGUUGGUGAGG
rnacentral:rRNA from 1 species